GAUGAAGAACGUAGCGAAAUGCGAUAAGUAAUGUGAAUUGCAGAAUUCAGUGAAUCAUCGAAUCUUUGAACGCACCUUGCACCCUUUGGUAUUCCGAAGGGUAUGCUCGUUUGAGUGUCAUUGUACUCUCACACUUCCGAUCGUUUGGAUCGGGAGCGGUGGACUUGGGUGUUGCUGCUUUACUGUGGCUCACCUUAAAUGCAUUAGUGCACCUUUCGGUUGGACAUAGUACGGCGUGAUAAGUGUCUUCGCCGGCACCUCACAGAGGGUGGCUGAUCGGGAGCUCUGUGCUUCAAACCGUCCUCGGACAAUCUUUGACAACUUGACCUCAAAUCGAGUAGGACUACCCGCUGAACUUAAGCAUAUCAAUAAGCGGAGGA
rnacentral:misc_RNA from 1 species